GAUGAACGCUGGCGGCGUGCCUAAUACAUGCAAGUCGAGCGAACGGACGAGAAGCUUGCUUUUCUGAUGUUAGCGGCGGACGGGUGAGUAACACGUGGAUAACCUACCUAUAAGACUGGGAUAACUUCGGGAAACCUGAGCUAAUACCGGAUAAUAUUUUGAACCGCAUGGUUCAAAAGUGAAAGACGGUCUUGCUGUCACUUAUAGAUGGAUCCGCGCUGCAUUAGCUAGUUGGUAAGGUAACGGCUUACCAAGGCAACGAUGCAUAGCCGACCUGAGAGGGUGAUCGGCCACACUGGAACUGAGACACGGUCCAGACUCCUACGGGAGGCAGCAGUAGGGAAUCUUCCGCAAUGGGCGAAAGCCUGACGGAGCAACGCCGCGUGAGUGAUGAAGGUCUUCGGAUCGUAAAACUCUGUUAUUAGGGAAGAACAUAUGUGUAAGUAACUGUGCACAUCUUGACGGUACCUAAUCAGAAAGCCACGGCUAACUACGUG
rnacentral:rRNA from 1 species